UUCUGUCAGUGAUGUUUUUCUUAUACCUACAUUGUUUGACUUGAAGAGUGAGAAAAAAAUUCCAAACGCUGAGGCAGAU
ensembl:snoRNA SNORD34 Small nucleolar RNA SNORD34